ACUCCUACGGGAGGCAGCAGUGGGGAAUUUUGGACAAUGGGGGCAACCCUGAUCCAGCCAUGCCGCGUGAGUGAAGAAGGCCUUCGGGUUGUAAAGCUCUUUCAGGUGGAAAGAAAUCUUCCGGGUGAAUACCCCGGGAGGAUGACGGUACCAUCAGAAGAAGCACCGGCUAACUACGUGCCAGCAGCCGCGGUAAUACGUAGGGUGCGAGCGUUAAUCGGAAUUACUGGGCGUAAAGCGUGCGCAGGCGGUUAUGUAAGACAGAUGUGAAAUCCCCGGGCUCAACCUGGGAACUGCGUUUGUGACUGCAUAACUAGAGUACGGCAGAGGGAGGUGGAAUUCCGCGUGUAGCAGUGAAAUGCGUAGAGAUGCGGAGGAACACCGAUGGCGAAGGCAGCCUCCUGGGCCAGUACUGACGCUCAUGCACGAAAGCGUGGGGAGCAAACAGGAUUAGAUACCCUGGUAGUCCACGCCCUAAACGAUGUCAACUAGUUGUUCGGUGAGGAGACUCAUUGAGUAACGCAGCUAACGCGUGAAGUUGACCGCCUGGGGAGUACGGCCGCAAGGUUAAAACUCAAAGGAAUUGACGG
rnacentral:rRNA from 1 species